GGGCCGUUAGCUCAGUCUGGUAGAGCACAACACUUUUAAUGUUGGGGUCACGGGUUCGAAUCCCGCACGGCCCA
rnacentral:tRNA from 1 species